UGUUUGUUUAUUAUUGUUAAUUUACGUUAUGUUGUUUAACUAUGCAUCUAUAAGUGAUAGUCCAUCAAUGUUGUAAGUGUAAUAUGAUGUGGCGAGAAAGUUGAACCAACAACUUUUCGGGGUCCUUCAUAAUACAAGUACCACUGUACUAUUGUAUAAAAUAGAAAUGGCAAUCAUUUAAGAAGGCAUGUAAGGCAACACCUAUAGGCAAAAUAUCUUUGUAAAAUUGAAUUUAGUUAUAAAAAUUAAUGUUUUUGUAUUGCCUGAAAAGCAUGUAAAACCAUACUUGCAUACAUUUGUAUGUAUGCAUGUUUGUUUUGAUCGACGCUACCGGUCAUAGCAAGCAGCUUUCAUGCAGGCGCAAAAGCUCGCAAUUAUUAUUAUUCCCCACAGAUACACCACAGACAGGCACCAACACAAGGAAAGAUCUUUCUGCGUGGGAGUCUCUAAUGUAUUGGUGCGUCCUAUUAGUUGGCCCUUUCCUUGAACCCCAUGCUAUCUGAGCAAAGCCCGGAGAAGCCAGCGCGUACGCCACACUAGUAAACCUUCCACCAGCACCAGACGAAUACCUCCUUAGUGAUUCGUUACAAUAUUCAGGCAUUUGAAGCCUGCUUUAAGCACUCUAAUUUGUUCAAAGUAAUUGUACCGGCCCACAAUAACACUCGAUGAAGAGCACUAA